GUGGCUCACACACCCUGGGUCAUCCCUCUACGGCUAUCACGCAUCCCACAGGCAGCCUCAGAGGAAAAGCUGUGAGGCAAUUUUGUUCAUAUUCGUGUCAUAAAUUGAAAAUGUAAGAUAAACUAUGCUUUUCAAGAAAUGCCAUUAAAAUGCUAAAAAUAAUGAUGUGUUCAGAGGUUGCACAGGAGCCACAAAUUGUGCUGACCAUUUUGGGGGCAGCUGCUAUCCAGUAAGUAGGGUCUGCUACCUUGAGGCUUAUGCGCUUCCAAAUCAUUUACAUAAUACUGCCUACUUUAUUCAAGGCGGCUUUUUAUUUUUACUCACACAUUGCAUUUUAGCUUCAUUUCACAAAAGUGGAUUAGUGGCACAAAAUGGUUUAUUGAGGCAUAAAGGCAAUAAUGAAAUAAUAACAUACAUACUACAACCAGAAUAACACCAUACCCAAACAUAGUAAACAAGACGCCGGCACAAAUGUGGAAUGCGAAUUCUUACAUGUUGGGACAAGUGAAUCUGUGAAGGUGAUGAUUUCACACAAGGAUUGGAAAAGAAAAGUGUGAAUAGGAUGUAGCAUCAUGAAUAUCUGAAAAUUGGAUUUUGUUCGACAAGUGAUCCAUUCACUUUUUGCCCUUCAUGCUUUGUCUGUAUUGAAUUUUGUCCCAUAAUGGCACAAAGCCAUCCAAACUUUUGUAUCACUUUCACACAAGCUCAGUGACCUUUCCAGCAUCCACAUGAGGUUUCCUGGAAUAAAAGCAAAGUAUUGCUUUUCAAGUAUGAAACCAAUCAAUUGUAUCACUAAAGGCAGAGAAGAGGUAGUAGCAGUAAGAGGUAUCAGUGACAUGAACAUUAAGAAACAAACAACACCAGCCCCAAAGUUAAUGACCAAUAUUAUGCAUAAAGAGAAAGCAGAAUAAUGUGGCAGAUAAAUUGAAAGAGUCUUUACUACCAUGUCCUCUUGCUAGCAGAUAUUUCUCACCGAGGCUGGACAGAACUGAGGAACAGGGCAUGGAGCUACUCCUGCCAUACGUGUUUUCCUUGGGGAUAAUGUUCUAUGGCUUUUGAUCUUAUUUAUCUCUGAAAACACAGGCUAUAUAAACAGGUAUUUUCUUGUUUUGUUAAUUAUGAUUUUAUGAGCUGUAGGGCACUUGUACAGAAGAGGCUUUGGGAUCAGAGCUGACAGAGUAUCUGCUAUGCAUGAACAUAGAAUGUGAGUCAGCAGGGCACGGUGGCUGGCGCCUGUCAUCCCAGGACUUUGGGAGGCCAAGACUGGAGGAUCACUUGAGCUCAGGAGUUUCAGACCAGCCUGAGCAACAUAGCAAGACCCUAUUAAAAAAUAAUUUUUUUCUAUCAAAAAAAAAUUUAAAUGCCAGGUUCGAGGACUCACACUGUAAUCCCAGCAGUUUGGGAGGCCAAGGUAGGUGGAUCACCUGAGGUCAGGAGUUAGAGACCAGCCUGACCAAGUUGGUGAAACGCCAUCUCUACUGAAAAUACAAAAAUUAGCCAGGCAUGGUGGGAGGCACCUAUAACCCCAGCUACUCAGGAAGCUGAGGUAGGGAAUGGUUUGAACCCAGGAGGCAGGAGGUUGCAGUGAGCCAAGAUCGUGCCAUUGCACUCCCGUCUGGGUGACAGAGCAAGACGUCAUCUAAAAAAAAAAAAAAAAAAAAAA
rnacentral:lncRNA from 1 species